UGGCAAGAUAAAAAGAAACCGGAUAAAUUCAAGCUGCAAAAAUCAAUUUUGAAGAGGUAGUUUUUUUUGAAGAACCAGUUUUGUUUCUCAAUUAACAUAAACCUAAUCGUAAUCCAAGCCCUAUGCUCUCUCACUUUCAUCCAGGUGAUACCAAGAAUAUUUUCAGAAGUUAAUAGAGUAUAUCUCUAUUAUUUUUGCAUAUGGAGCCCUUGUGUGAUCUUGAUAGGAUGUUCUCGAAGAAAUGCAGAGAGGAGGACGAACAGGGGCAUAUAUAUUUUUGUUGCAUUCCUCCCUUCUACUAAAAAAACAAAGAAAAGCUAUUCAUGAAAUGAAUGAAGAAUCUAAAGCUCCAUUUCAAGAUCAACAUCCAAGAUAGGGAUUUCAACAGCAAAAGAGCACUUGAGCAAUUAAAAAUAGUGAAUUCACACAAAAAGAUCUGCAAAGAUACCAAAUAAGUGGCUAAUUUGGGAAUGUAUAGGCCUAUAGUACCUGUUCUUACAUUUUGUAAAGAAUACCCCAUUUGAACUGUUGAAAUCUCUAUUUGAAGUGCUGAAAUUCUAUUUUAACUAUUAGGGCUCAUUUAAAUUAAUUGUUGUGCUAAAAGACAAUUGUAAGACUCGAUACUGUACUUGGGGUUAUUGUUAACGCAGAGGAUAAAGGUUAAUAGUUUAGUCAUUUUUUAUAAUGCUAUGGCCAUUUUCUCCUCCCAAGCCAAAUAAAUAUAAUUGUACUUCUUUA